GACGAACGCUGGCGGCGUGCUUAACACAUGCAAGUCGAACGAAGUGGCGAACGGGUGAGUAACGCGUAAUCAACCUGCCCUUCAGAGGGGGACAACAGUUGGAAACGACUGCUAAUACCGCAUACUGAAGGAGGGGAUUGCGACUGAUUAGCUGGUUGGAGGGGUAACGGCCCACCAAGGCGAUGAUCAGUAGGCGGUCUGAGAGGAUGAGCGGCAACAUUUGAAGUGAGACAAGGCCAAGACUCCUACGGGAGGCAGCAGUUGGGAAUCAUCCGCAAUGGACGAAAGUCUGGCGGAGCAACGCCGCGUGAGUGAUGACGGCCUUCGGGUUGUAGAGCUCAGUUAAUCGGGACGCGGUACCGGAAUAGAAAGCCACGGCUAACUACGUGCCAGCAGCCGCGGUAAUUC
rnacentral:rRNA from 1 species